rnacentral:lncRNA from 1 species
UUGUGAGAAAUCAUCGCCAAACCUCGUUUUUAAAGAAUUUUAAGCUUUUUCCCUUUCAAAAUCAUGGAAAAAUAAUUUUCGCCUCACAAGGGCAUUUUCAUCAUUUUUCCUCAAAAUUUUUCGAACCCGACUAAAAUUGUAGUAGAUGAGUGGAAAACACAUAUUUCAUGAUUUAAAAUAAAUUUGAGUGUCUAAAACAUUUAUUAAAAAUGAUAUUGCAACUAUUUGAAUAAAAUAAAAAUAUUCAAUAAAAUAUUCUAAUUUAUUGUAAAACAAUAUUUAUAGAGUCAUCGGUAAUUAAUUUUUUUUGUAAUGUAAAAACUAAAUAAAUUCAUACGUACUACAAUACAGAUAACCGGGAUAUGAAAUUUACUUUACAGUGACUCGUGGGCCCACAAGGAACAAAAGUGCAUAAAGGCAAUAAACCUACAGUUUUUGGAGUAGUAAAGCGGACUAUAGCCUUCGACGAUAUCAGCUAUCUACACACUAUCCUGAGCCUGAAAUGGGUGGAAAUGAGGGUGGUGAGAUUAUAUAAUCCCAGUGAGUAAACAAAUAUCAUCUAAAAUAUCUAAAGUCGAGUAAAUGGAGGCAAUUAAAAUAAAUCAUCAUACUGUAAUUUCAUUACCUUUCAACUUAUUUCAACCAAAUAAACAACUAGGCUUAUGAUUUCCUGAAAAGCUUGGCUCGUGCAAAAAAUCAUUCUCAUACUCAGUUAUCAGGGAUGCCUUGAUCGAGGGCUAUCCCAAUUGAGUUCGCCAAGGCUGUUAAAAAGUCAUUUACGCAUAAAUUAUGUUUUUAUUUUGAAAACAUAGGCGUUCCUUGGCGUU